rnacentral:ribozyme from 18 species
AAAGGGUCGGGAAGGUCUGAAAGUGUGUUCUUGGUUGUGCCCUCAGCAGACCUUGAAGGGAAAUCUUCGGUUCGUGAGCCACGAGUUGGUGUAGGGGCUCCAGAUAA